CCCUACGGGGGGCAGCAGUGGGGAAUAUUGCACAAUGGAGGGAACUCUGAUGCAGCGACGCCGCGUGAGUGAAGAAGUAAUUCGUUAUGUAAAGCUCUAUCAGCAGGGAAGAAAGUGACGGUACCUGAAAAAGAAGCCCCGGCUAACUACGUGCCAGCAGCCGCGGUAAUACGUAGGGGGCAAGCGUUAUCCGGAUUUACUGGGUGUAAAGGGAGCGUAGACGGCUGCGCAAGUCUGAAGUGAAAGCCCG
rnacentral:rRNA from 1 species